CCAGAGAACUUAGCAGAGAUGCUUUGGUGCCUUCGGGAACUCUGAGACAGGUGCUGCAUGGCUGUCGUCAGCUCGUGUUGUGAAAUGUUGGGUUAAGUCCCGCAACGAGCGCAACCCUUAUCCUUUGUUGCCAGCGGCUCGGCCGGGAACUCAAAGGAGACUGCCGGUGAUAAACCGGAGGAAGGUGGGGAUGACGUCAAGUCAUCAUGGCCCUUACGGCCAGGGCUACACACGUGCUACAAUGGCGCAUACAAGAGAAGCGACCUCGCGAGAGCAAGCGGACCUCACAAAGUGCGUCGUAGUCCGGAUUGGAGUCUGCAACUCGACUCCAUGAAGUCGGAAUCGCUAGUAAUCGUAGAUCAGAAUGCUACGGUGAAUACGUUCCCGGGCCUUGUACACACCGCCCGUCACACCAUGGGAGUGGGUUGCAAAAGAAGUAGGUAGCUUAACCUUCGGGAGGGCGCUUACCACUUUGUGAUUCAUGACUGGGGUGAAGUCGUAACAAGGUAAGCGUAGCGAG
rnacentral:rRNA from 1 species